rnacentral:rRNA from 1 species
GACGAACGCUGGCGGCGUGCCUAAUACAUGCAAGUCGAACGAGAGCAACCGGUGCUUGCACUGGUCAAUCUAGUGGCGAACGGGUGAGUAACACGUGGGUAACCUGCCCAUCAGAGGGGGAUAACAUCCGGAAACGGAUGCUAAAACCGCAUAGGUCUUCGAACCGCAUGGUUUGAAGAGGAAAAGAGGCGCAAGCUUCUGCUGAUGGAUGGAACCGCGGUGCAUUAGCUAGUUGGUGAGGUAACGGCUCACCAAGGCCGUGAUGCAUAGCCGACCUGAGAGGGUGAUCGGCCACAUUGGGACUGAGACACGGCCCAAACUCCUACGGGAGGCAGCAGUAGGGAAUCUUCCGCAAUGGACGCAAGUCUGACGGAGCAACGCCGCGUGAGUGAAGAAGGUUUUCGGAUCGUAAAACUCUGUUGUUAGAGAAGAGCAAGUGCUAGAGUAACUGUUAGCGCCUUGACGGUAUCUAACCAGAAAGCCACGGCUAACUACGUG